GACUCGCCAGUGUUUGAUGUUGUCAGUGUUCCAGAUUUUGGCCAUUCUGAUAGAUGUGUCAUUCAGUAAAGCCUGGGUAUGUGACAGACAACAAGGAACUAUUUGAGGACAUCCCAGUGGAUCGCAGAGCUGAAAGAAUGGAAUAAUGGAUUCAAAUUGGGUGAGUUAGUCUCAAAAAUUUUUUGGAAGAGGAUUUAAAAAGAAACUGGAUGAAAAUCUGUCUGGAAGCUAGUUGGGAGAUUAUUUUGAAGAGAUGAUGGUUCCUGGAGCCCGGCUCCUGAUUGCUCAAGGAAGUACCUGAGAAUAAUGAACAGUAAUGUUGGGACAGAAGAGAAGCUCAACCCAGAAGUGUUGUUCUGAGCGCCUGGACCCUCCCUGGCAGGAGCAGUUGACCCAAGAGAAGAUUUUGCAAAUAGGAGGAACCAAAACUUGGCACCAACUUUUGGAAACACAGGUUAACUGAUGUCAAGAGAUUCAAAAUGAAAAUGCUUCAGGAUAAAAAUUUGCUAAAUACUAGGAAGACUCAACCUACCUUUGGGAAGCCAUCUGUCUAACUGUUAAAGUAUCUCUAUGGAUUUCAAAGUUAAGGAAUGACACAAAGGAGGGAUAUUAAAGUGUUAUGUAAAUAUGCCCCUGUUAGAGUAGGAUGUCAAUGAAAAGUAACCAAAAGACUGACAGAAAAGACAAGACGGUGGGUCUUUUCUUUUAGCUUCCUUCCCUCCCCUCCCCUCCCCUCCCUUCCCCUUCCCUCCCCUUCCUUUCCCUUCAAAUGGAAAUUGAAUUUCCUGAGAUGGGAACUUGCAAAAUCUCUGAAGUCCCCAAGUAACAGUGUUGACUCAAGAUCCAGAAAUAGUGGGAAAGGAAAACUGGCCUGGGAAAAGGUCUACCUGGGCAUGGAUGGGACAGUUGCUUCUGGGCUGUCUUCAAAAGAGGAACUAUAUAAAAUAUGAAUCAACAGAGAUACAACUAGCUAGGGGCCAGGCACUGUUUAAUGCUUGUUAUUUAUGCUGAACCAGAAGAAACUGUGAUCUGGAAUUUUGGGGUGGUGGAGUCCCCAGAGCUGUGAAUGGUGUCACUGCAAUUCGAUAAAUAUUUAUUGAAUAUCUGUGUCCAUCAGCACCAUGGAGGUACACCAAAAACUCUAAGAUUUUUACUUGUAUUCUUUGGUCGUAUCUGGGCUGUGAUUCAUGAAUUGGAUGAAAAUGCGAUGGGAGUUUUGGAUGGAUUAAAAAAUGCAGCCUGCACGACACUGAGCAUAAAAUUAUUUGCAGAUAAUUGAGAACUGACCUGAUGUCUGAGAAUCCAGAGCUUG